GUGGAUUAGUGGCGAACGGGUGAGUAACACGUGGGCAAUCUGCCCUUCACUCUGGGACAAGCCCUGGAAACGGGGUCUAAUACCGGAUAACACUCCUGCCUGCAUGGGUGGGGGUUGAAAGCUCCGGCGGUGAAGGAUGAGCCCGCGGCCUAUCAGCUUGUUGGUGGGGUAAUGGCCUACCAAGGCGACGACGGGUAGCCGGCCUGAGAGGGCGACCGGCCACACUGGGACUGAGACACGGCCCAGACUCCUACGGGAGGCAGCAGUGGGGAAUAUUGCACAAUGGGCGAAAGCCUGAUGCAGCGACGCCGCGUGAGGGAUGACGGCCUUCGGGUUGUAAACCUCUUUCAGCAGGGAAGAAGCGCAAGUGACGGUACCUGCAGAAGAAGCGCCGGCUAACUACGUGCCAGCAGCCGCGGUAAUACGUAGGGCGCAAGCGUUGUCCGGAAUUAUUGGGCGUAAAGAGCUCGUAGGCGGCUUGUCACGUCGGAUGUGAAAGCCCGGGGCUUAACCCCGGGUCUGCAUUCGAUACGGGCUAGCUAGAGUGUGGUAGGGGAGAUCGGAAUUCCUGGUGUAGCGGUGAAAUGCGCAGAUAUCAGGAGGAACACCGGUGGCGAAGGCGGAUCUCUGGGCCAUUACUGACGCUGAGGAGCGAAAGCGUGGGGAGCGAACAGGAUUAGAU
rnacentral:rRNA from 1 species